rnacentral:sRNA from 1 species
AAAGAAGAAAGAAAAAA